GCAACUUGCUUGUGGAAGCGAUGUAAAUCUGAAAUCGUAGAAUCCACCGUCAACUCUCUGUUCAAUCGCCGCCACCGUAAACUCUGUUCAACCGCCGCCACCGUAAACUCUGUUCAACCGCCGCCACCAUCAACUCUCUGUUCAAUCGCCGCCACACAACUCGACUCUUUCUUUCUAAGAAAUGCUAUGGAGCUUGGACCUUUUGGACCUUUGGCUGUUACUCUCAUGAAAAUGCCUCGUUUGAGUUUUUGUCGUGUUGAUGAAUUAGCUUUUGCAGUUAAUAAGCAUGAUCUUGGGAAUUACAGGCCUUUAAUAACUCUCUAUAAGGAUUGGAGUCAAAGUAACUUUGGUACUUCAGUGAAAUAGAUGAAACUUUGUUGCAACCCGUCAUUGAGGCUCUGCAACCUAUAGCUGAUGUCACUGUUGAAAGCCAUGUUUUGUACCUUACACCAAAGGCUUCGUUUUUUUGAUUGGGAUGAUGAACAUGGCAGCCACAUAUUCACCACUCAAGAUCUUCCUUUCUUUGUGAAUUCCAAUGAGUGGCACUUAGAUACUUCAGUUGCAGCUGGUGGGAGGUCAAAAGUAUUGCAACUUGUGGUGUAUAUUACUUCAGCUCUCCUUAAUUAAUUUACUUGUUAACAUCUAAAAGCUUAGAUUCAAUUUAUAUAUUUUUGCUAUGGCUUUAUGACAUAUAAGUUACUCAGAUUGAACUUCAGCUCUCUUAAAUUUAUUUACUCGUUGGCAUCUAAAAGCUUAGAUUUAAUUUAUAUAUUUUUGCACCAGCUUUAUGACAUAAAGUUAUGCAUUAUUGGCAACUGGUGUGAUCUCUAAGUAAGUACAGUAUAUAAGUGCUGAAUACGGAUCAGGAGAGAUCAAUUUAAGUACUGUAACAAAGGUCAACAAAGGAAAGGGAACUUCUGGUGUAUCUGCUACCAAUGGUCUAGAUGUUCAUCGUGCCGUGAGGACUGGUUUACCUGAAUCAUUGUCCUGUCGACACGUGUUGUCAUCGAGAAGCCAAGCCAUAGUGGUUCCUUCUCCCGAAUGUCAAAGUCCAGUUGAAUUGGUACAGUCUUAGUAGAGCAUUGUUUCAUAUUAAUAACCAUCUAAUCAGAAUUUGCACGAUAAAAUUUCCCCUUCUCUGAUUUACAGUGAUAAGAAAGAAGCACUUUUAGGUGGUACAUAUCUAAGUUCUAUCUUUUUGAGUCUUCUGCAUCACCAAUAUAUUAUUCAUCGAGUCGAAAUGCCGACUCAAUUUUUUUAGGUUGCUGAAGGUAGAAGGUGCAUUAUCUUAUCAGCUGAAGGAGUUCUUCUCUUGGACUUUUAGAAAGCAUACUUUCUAUUUUCAAUGUUUUGCUAAUUCUAAGUUAACAUGUUAUUUAACUACACAAAUGCAGUUCAGAAUACACUUAAACUUAACAUGAAAAUCCAAGUAGGGGAGCUAGACGGAGUCAAGAGAGUGAUCACAGUCAACUUCAGCCUUCACAUUUGCGAGUUUCGGUAAUUGGUUUAAUUAUAAUGGCUACGCUGUUUCUGCACGAGAUGGGUUAUUAUCUCACAACUUAAACUGUUCAUGAGAUGUCAGUGGACUUGAAUCGUGGAGAGACUCUUCCGAUUCAUAUAAAUAUGACACUCCCUUCUUUACCUUGUGAUGUUUUGAGUGUGGAUGCUAUUGAUAUGUCGGGCAAGCAUGAGGUGGAUCUUGAUACUAACAUAUGGAAAGGACUUUAAAGCUAAACAACCUGCCCAUUGCCCCUUCAUGUUUUCCUGCCUUGUCUUCAUCUGAGGAAGAGUUAAAGAAGCACAUGGUAGAGGAGGCAGGUAGCUCACAUAAUUCUCAAGCCAUCAAAGAUUCUACAAGCUGAAAGAAUGAUACUUAUUCAAAGGUUAAAGGGCCCGAAAAGAGAGGACGGGUGCGUUGUCCUGGAAAGCUUCCCUGACAUGCCAGUUUUAGCUCCAAUGCUGAUAAUAGAGUUGCAACAUUAGAGAAUUUGCUUGGAAAUCUAAUUUCUAUUCUUCAAGUGCGAUUUUCUGAAGAUCGACAAGUUAACGAGGUCUUAUGAGUUAUAACCGAAGAGGUUUGAUUUUGUGUCACCUAUUGACCACAAUCCGGUGAAGUUCAUCUCAAGAUACUCUUCACCUCCCUUUGCUAUACAGAUGUUUACAUGAAAGUGAAGAUACAAGAAUAUUAAAAUAAAAAUAUAUGUGAUUUCUUUUGUAAGAUUUUAAGUAUAUUGAAUGAAACUUUCUAUGUUGAAAUAUUUGAAUUUAAUGUAAAAUGGGAUAAUUUUUUCA